ACGUAUAAUACUGAAUAUACUCUAGUUUAAUACCGAAAAUAUCUGAAAUUCUUUUAUACUACAACACAUAUGGUAUAAAGAUUUUCGUUCUUCUAACAAACUAUGUCAAAUAUGUGGGUCAAUGUGUGAGUUAUAUUAUAUAUUUAUAAAAUUGUUUAAAUAUAUGUUCUCGAGUAUACCUGUGUAGUGAUUUCCGCUAUUCUAUGAUCUAUAAAAUUAUAUAUAUAUGUUAAUAAGAUACAUGUUUGAUAGUUUACCAGCCGGGUUCGUCGAAUAAUUAUUGAAUUGUUUUUUAUUUGCCAACCCCUGAAGGUAUUUCUGCUGCUUUGAAACUUCGAAUUUAUAAGAGUAUGAAAUGUUCGGUUACACACGAAAUUUGCCGUUCCUUACUUGUUAUAACAAAUGAAUUUAAUUGUGCUUCUUGAAAUUGAUAGUACUCGAUAACCAUUUGUUAUGCUAUCUCCGCCACUACGUUUUAUCCUCCCAAUGACUGCCAACUGCAUCAUCCACAAAAAUUAUGUACAACAACUUAGUGGACCAGUGUACGGCAGACUAUAUAUAUUUUAUCAAAGGCUCGCAAAACAGCUUUUUGCGAAAGUAAACUUUUGCAGUGUUCUGUAACGUCAAAUUAUACAACCUAUCAUUUUGCAAUGUUUGGCGUUGCAUACCGACGAUGUACAUAUAAAUACUGUAGACAUACUGUAUCGAUAUUUUGCAUUAGUACGUUAAGUCAGACUAUAAUAAAUGCAACGCCCAAAAUCAUAGCAGACCAUUUUAGUUAUUAUCUCGGCAGAGGUUUUGAAAAUUCAAAAAUAAAAAUAUUUUAACUUACAUUUUUAAAUAUUAUUUAGCUUAUUUUUUAAAACCGCCGACGUUUUCUCCGGAUGCAACAGUCCGGCAGACGGCAAGAUAUGUAACCGUUAUGUUGUGACGUAAUUUUAGUUGAUUUUGAACAGCUUCUCUGCUUGCAUGUAUGUUUUACCAAGUGAUAUUUUGGAGCAGGAUAUCAUAAAGUUUUAUCAGCUGCUCAAUCAUGUGUUCUAUCGGAAUAUACAUAUGUAUGUAAAUCAAAUGGGCUGCCCCUAUUAUCUGCAAGUAGCUCAAAAACUAAUCAUACUACAGUGCAAGAUUCAAAUUCAGGAAACAUAACUUAUGUAAGUGAAAAUGUAAAAGAUGGAAAUCCGAAUCAAAAUUCACUGCAGGAAGAAGCGAGUGAAGUGCCUUCAAAAUCAGGUUCAACAACUGAUAUUCCACAUUUUGAACAAUUCGUCGCAGUAAAUUUGCGUAAAGAAUGCCUUUUUGAAACAAGAACAAGUUUUCCAAACAAGAAUUUGAGUAACUGCUAUAGACAAUAAAUCAUGUAAAAUUUUUUGAAGAUAUCUCGUCAAAUAAAAAGGGGAUGUUCGAGCAAGCAAACACCUGCACCAUUGAUUUUCACGGUUUCACCGGAUGUCAUUUCAACGCUGCAUUUUUUAAUAAAGGAAAAGAAGAGACUUUAUUUUGUUGAAGAAAAACGGUGAAUUUUGAGAUCUUGGAAGUUUGAAAAGCGCUGACUUAACUCCGGAUAUGUUAAAAGGUCUGUUUAUUGUUAUUUAAGAGUUUAUUUGCAACAUGAACAACACGAAGAAAUACAAAGACGUAGAGCCUGUAGUCCUGCAUUGAGUGAUCUGUUGCAUACAUACAAGCAGAGAAGCUGAUUUCCCUCUGCGCCCUAAUU